GGGCCCGCACAAGCGGUGGAGCAUGUGGUUUAAUUCGAAGCAACGCGAAGAACCUUACCAGGUCUUGACAUCCUUUGACCACUCUAGAGAUAGAGCUUUCCCUUCGGGGACAAAGUGACAGGUGGUGCAUGGUUGUCGUCAGCUCGUGUCGUGAGAUGUUGGGUUAAGUCCCGCAACGAGCGCAACCCUUAUGACUAGUUGCCAGCAUUUAGUUGGGCACUCUAGUAAGACUGCCGGUGACAAACCGGAGGAAGGUGGGG
rnacentral:rRNA from 1 species